GUUUUUUUUUUUUCCUCUACUUUCUCUUUCCCUUUUGAAAUGCAGCUAGGGCUUUCCUUUUCACUUUCCCUUCCAAAAAACACUAUCUCGUUCGUCAAAAAACACCAUCCUGUUUGCCUACUGGCAUUUUUGAUAGAUCUUCUUUUUUUUUUUUUUUUUUUUUUUUUUUUUUUUCCUCUACUUUCCCUAAGUACACGAAAGAAUAAUAAUCACCCUUGCUUCAAAAGAUGUUGCUUCAAGAUCUAUGACUAUGGAAAUCCGAGAGGGUCAUGGUGUAGGUAUGAUGUGUUUCGGAAUGUGAGGCAUUUAUUAAUCUAAGUGACAUAUCCAAUAUUUUUGUCCAUUAGCGGUUGCAUGCAUUUAGUCGAUUAUUUGCUUUCUGCACUUUGUGAUUUCUAGUAACCAUGGUAGUAAUUUUAAAAUAAGACCUUUGAAGGACCAUAUUUAUGUCCACAUGAACCAUUUAUCCCCAGAAGUACUGAAGGAGAGGCUUCCUACUAUCUCUGAAACUGCUGCCAUUCUUGCUGGUGUUGAUGUUACAAAGGAGCCCAUUCCCCAGAGGUAGGUGCUAGUAAAAUAUGUUGAAAGGUCAUAAUUGGCUGUGGUACCUUGAUAAUUUAUAUAAAAUAUGUAUGAUAUUAUUUUUCUGUUAAUGAAAAAUUUGAUUCCAUGUUAUUAUAGUUUUUUAUGUUAGCAUUUAUUGAUAAAUGAAGGAUUUUAAUAAAAUUCUAAUUUAUAAACAUUAAAACUUUGAAUUUGUGAUAAAUUAUAAUUAUGAUCAAUUACUAAAAAAUUACAAUUUUAAAGAUAAUCUUUGAGAUAUUUGCUGAGAUAUAGAUCCAUGCAAAAGAACUGUUAUUUCACCAAUUCCAAAUGGACCACAACAAAUGUAAAGGUAUUCCGGACUCUUUAUGUUCUCCUAGCUUGUAUAACCUAUACUAAACUAAGCAGAAUACAGAGAGACUAUAAAAUAGCAGUCUAAAGGUUUGAACCCUAUUUUUUGGGAGGAAUGGGUGAUGAUUUUCCUUUUUGUGUAAAUGGGAAUUAAAGUGAACUUGUAUUUAAAUAAAAUAUUGAGUGACAGGUCUACUUUUUGGGCCAUGGUCUAUGGGCUUAGCUUUUACUCACUAUUAUGCUUUUUUUGUUCCAAAAGUUGUUACUAUUAAAAGUGAUAAUCCAGAUGCAAUAGUUCCUCGGUUAUUGGCUGCUGGAGCGACAGCCUGUGUAUCAGUUCAUGGCACCAUUAUACUUGGUGCAAAUUCCCUCCUUGACAUAAGUAUUUGGUCGAGUUUGUGCUAAUAGAGUUGCGGAAAUUCGUAGACCAGGCAAGUUAUUAUAUUGAAAAUAAUUUUUUCAAAAAAUCAUGUAUUUAAAGCUAAGGUGUUCUAUUUGGGCUGGUGUAGGGAGAAACAAAAAACUUUGGAAAAGAAUGCUGGUGAGAAGACCAUUGCAUGGCUGGACGAACUAAGGAAUUCAAAUGGUUCAUUACCUACUGCACAAAUCCAGUUGAAUAUGCAAAGAAUAAUGCAAAAUAAUGCUGCUGUAUUCCACACACAAGAAACUUUAGAAGAAGGUUGUCAAUUGACUGACAGGGCAUGGGAGAGUUUUCAUGAUGUUAGAGUAAAGGAUCGAAGUUUAAUAUGGGCUCAAAAGGAAGCAAAAAUGGAAAAAAAAUUGCUAAUCAAACAACUGGAGAAAGAUAAACGAAAAGCUGAAAUAGAAAGAAAAGGAAAUUGGAAUGCGAGCUUUUACUGCUUUGUUUUUGUUACUUCAUCAUGUUCAUAGAUGUAUCUUUUUUCUUCCAUUAGCCUUUUGAAUAUAAAGACAAUGAUAGAUUUUGAUGUUCAUUUAACAACGAUAAUGAUGGGUUUUGAUGUAAAGAUAAUUAAAUUAUUUUCU